UAGGCAAACUGUAAAAUUAGUUUUUGUUUUCAUCUAUAUUUAAUGCUCCAUACAUGUCCCGCCAAGAUCUUUUUGAUUUCAACUAACUAAACAAGGCCUAGUACUACUACGCCCGUGACCCACUAUGGCUUGUUUAGUUUUGAAUUUUUUUUUGGUUUUUAGGACUGUAGCACUUUCGUUUUUAUUCGACAAACAUUGUCCGAUCAUGAAGUAACUAGGAUUAAAAGAUUUAUCUCACGAUUUACAGGUAACUGUGCAAUUAGUUUUUAUUUUGUCUAUAUUUAGUGCUCUAUGCAUAUACCGUAAGAUUCGAUGUGACGAAGAAUUUUGAAAAGUUUUUGAUUUUUAGGGUCAACAAGGCCUAUGCCUCGGGACCACUUCUGAUCGACUGCUCACUGCUUU
rnacentral:lncRNA from 1 species